GUCAACUGGAGUCUCAGCGGCCACGGUCUCUCUUGGAUCCGCCGGCGUCGUUGUUGUUCCAGAGUUGACGAGGGACGACAGAUAGCUUCUGCCGACAGCGGCCAGUUCGUUGGAGCUGCCCUUCCCCGGAGUCCGACUCGUUCUCCUCCUUUCUUAAAGCUAAGUUUUCUUCUAAUGCAAUCUAUGUUUCGGUUAUGCAACUAGUAGGCAUUGGUUAAGAAUUGUUGUGGUUUCGCUACUGUCUGGGAAGGUUCUCUAAGAUAGCUGUUGAGAAAUCCUCAGUGCAUCUAUCAUGAUACGAAGUCUCUAAAUGUCUUAUGCCUUUUAUGAAACACGUAUGUAUAACUUUCUACUUGAUGCAUAAAGAAACUGAGAUAAGUAUGAAUAAUGUUUGAGUAACUGAACUGGAAAAUACCUUGAUGUAUAAAUGUUGGUUGGCUGUUGUUGCUGAGUUAAAUGAGCUGGAAUGACUGAACUGAAUAGAUCGAAUGUUGUUGUUUUAGUAAUUGCAGUUGGUUAAUGGAAGGAGAUGGAACGAGUAAAGCCAAGCUUACCUUGAAGUGGCAGAGCACUGGAUUGAGGCCUCUGCUCUCCCAAAGUUUCUAAGUGUGGAAUGAGAACGAAGUGGAGGUUAUAUGCUGCUGAAAUCUGAAACCAAAUGAAGUGGUUGGGUGUGAAAUGCACACUUGUGCUAGUCAAAAAUGUGCAAAAUAGGCGGUGGAGCUGGAGUAAAAAAGGUACAAAAUAGGCGGCUGAGCAGGAGGAAGAGUGCAGUGGUGAAUAAAUGAGAUAUAUUCGUAUAUCUCGGUGCUUUUAUAAUUGUAAUAUGAAUCGUGUGCUCGUAUCUGCUUUGAUA
rnacentral:lncRNA from 1 species